AGCCCCACAGGCCAGAUCAUGAGCUCUAGCUAUCCUAUUUGUAUCACACUUGACAUCACAACAUUAUUCAUACAACUUGUUGUCUUAAAUAUGUCACUACAUAUAGAAGCUACUUCAAAGGAGCAAUUAGGAUAUUAGCGUAGUUCUGUAACUAGAUUAACACUAUCAGUACACAUAGUCACAUCCAUAAAGCCUCUUCGUUUAGCUUCUAUAAUUCCUUGCAGCAUUGCUAGAGCUUCAGUAGCUAGAACAUUACAGCUAAAAACUCGCGCAGCUCCUUCUUCAACUACUCUCCCAUCAGCAACUAUAUUCCAGCCUAUUGCCGCUUCAAUACUUGCUUUCUUCUUAAUCUUCUUCCAUGCGCCAUCUACUGUGACUAUUACUGGGCAAUUACUUGCCCUACCCUUGAUGCACAUGAUGUUUUGCCCAUUUGCUCUUGUUUUAGCCAUAUUAUUGUUCUCUCCAAUGUUUGCUAAUCUUUUCCUGUCCUCCUUAGCUUUAAAAGCCACACAUUUCAGCUCAACUAUAUUUUUCAUAAUAUUGUCUAGAUGUAGUGGAAUGUGUUCCAAGUCUGGGUAUAUCUGGUGAUUUCUGACUUUUGUGAAUCCUCAUAAAAAAGAGGAGCUAUUGAUAGUAUUGUUGGGUUAGAUUUUGCAAGAACUAUAUCUUGAUGAUUAUGAUACUUUAGAUGCAAUGAUUGUUCUCCCUAAACAUUAGUUUUCUUGUGAUUGCACAGUAGUUUAGCAACAAUGCCAGUCACAGCUUUGUCUCCUCCAGAAGGGAACACGACAUUGUUGUGAGUAUAAUAAAUCGGUGUAAGAAUACCCUUGUUAUCAUCCAUUUCCAGUUUUUUUACACCAGUUUAUAUUAACAUAUAUGUAGGUUUUUAUCAGAGAUAGUAUGCAACUUUUGUAUUGUUAUUCUGACUAAAAUAGUUAUAUGUCAUAUUUGUAUGAACAAUCAUUGACUAGUUUACUUUCUUGAUGUUAGAACGAUAGACCGGAGGAACAAUCAUUGACUGGUUUAAUUUCUUGAUGUCAGAAUUUUCUUUCUCUUUCCUUCUAUCAUAUUUUCUCUUCUCCCCUAAAAUACUAAGCCUGCCUCUUCCAAAAGCCCUAUAAUUCAACUUCUGGUAUCUGAAUUCUAAUGGUAUUCUACCUUUAUCAGAAGGAAUUCUCUUACGUGUGCCACCUUAGUUACACAAUAACAUUACUCCAUACAUUAUAUUCCAUAUUAAUAGAAUCAUUAUAACAAAUCAACUGAAAAUAUUUUCAUACUUAACAAAGCUAAAAAUGAGUAAGUUGAUAAAUUUCUUCCUAGGGUUUAGUAUUUCCAUAAUUUAACCAUUUACUAUACGCGCUAGGAAUAUCAGUGUUCAAUUUCUUUUGUAGAUUUUUGGGGGAGGUAUAGCUGCAAAGGGAUUCAAGGCUUCAGGUAGUUAUGGUGGAUUGAGGGCCCAAGGACAGAAACCAGACCUUGCUCAGGUCACUUGUAAUGUAAAUGCUAUAUCAACAUGUUUCUUUUCUUUCUUAUGAGUCUGACAUACCUAUUUUUAUUUUCUGAUUAGUUUUGAUUAUAUUUCAAAACACAUGCUUCUUCUUAUCCAGAAUGUCUCGUCUCUCUUAUGAUUAAUGUUGGGUUUUUUUUUGUUUCUUGUUUCUAUGGUCUAUUUUGACUUGGGAUUUUUUUUGGGUGUGUCUUGUGUAUUCUGAUCUAGUUUUUUUUUUUUGGUGCCCUAUGCUUUUCUGUUUCAGUUUCAGCUAGUUAACACUUGCAAUCAUUUGAGAUAUCAAAUAAUGAAAAGCUUUAUGAAUCGAAUCUGAUUUCGAAGAAUGUGGUAAAGUCUGAUUCUUUAAAGGGAUCUAAGACCAAAUAUCUUUGUCUUUUGUUUGUGUAUCAGUCAGCAAAAUCUGUUUCAAAGACUGCAAAUGUUAAUGGUCAUGUCUCUGAAUCCUCUAUGUAUGUUGUAGCUACCUUAUACCUUUGCUUGUUAAAAUAUGUCAACUGAAAUAUUUUUUAUUGUUGUUCUUGCACUUACACAACCUAGGUUCUAAUUAGCUUCUAAAUAACUUCAGAGUUGUUGAUGUAUGUCCAAAGCCUGAAAAAGAAGUGUUUCCUGAGGUUGAGGACAUGGCUGAUUCCAAGGAUUCAAAUCAGUAUUGUUCUUACCAUGAAGAAAGCGAUGAUUCCACUGUUAUUACAAGUGGUGUACUGUUUAACGUCUUCAGUUCAAUAUGAAAAUUGAAGAGAAGAUCCAUGCCAAAGAGGAAGAAAAAAAUAACUUGUAGCCCAUGUCUAAGGAAGACUGUCAAUGUUUUGGCGUUCUAGCAGGUGUAGCAAGUCAAGCACUUGACAGGACUGGAUUUUACUUCAGUGGAAAAGCACCUACUGUGAAAAAGGGAGCUACUCAGUUACACAGAACUAGCACUCAAAGGUUUUCAAAACUCCAAGGGAGGGGCCCUUCACCAAAGAGGAGUUGGUUGAAGUUCAAGACAAGUGGGCUACUUACUUCAACGAUUGUGAAUUACCCUCAGUGUAAUAAUUAGAGCAGGCUUGUAGUUAUCCGUGACUCUUACAUUAUUUUGUUAUUUAUCGAUUUAAUUAAUUACAUUUGAAUUAAUUUGGAAAUAUUAUUGGAAAUUUGAAAUUUAUAU